UCCCCGUUGAACGAGGCAGUAUCCCGUGAUUUGCAACACAGGAAGAGGGUUGCGCUCGUUUGCUGACUUAACAGUACAUCUCACGACACGAGCUGACGACGACCGUGCAUCACCUGUCAUCCGGCUCUAUAAAAUAGCACCCCCACAUUUCUGUAGGGUUCCGGAGAUGUCAAGCCUUGGUAAGGUUCUUCGGUUAGCAUCGAAUUAAACCACAUGCUCCACCGCUUGUGCGAGCCCCCGUCAAUUCCUUUGAGUUUUAGUCUUGCGACCGUACUUCCCAGGCGGCAGACUUAACGCGUUAGCUUCGGUACUUUAGGGGUCGAUUCCUCUAAUACCUAGUCUGCAUAGUUUACGGCGUGGACUAC
rnacentral:misc_RNA from 1 species